rnacentral:misc_RNA from 1 species
AACGCACAUUGCGCCCAUUAGUAUUCUAGUGGGCAUGCCUGUUCGAGCGUCAUUUCAACCCCUAAGCACAGCUUAUUGUUGGGCGUCUACGUCUGUAGUGCCUCAAAGACAUUGGCGGAGCGGCAGUAGUCCUCUGAGCGUAGUAAUUCUUUAUCUCGCUUUUGUUAGGUGCUGCCCCCCCGGCCGUAAAACCCCCAAUUUUUUCUGGUUGACCUCGGAUCAGGUAGGAAUACCCGCUGAACUUAA